GUAGGUUAGUCAUAAAGCCACAUUCACUCUCUUGCUUUCUCUGUCGCAUGCACUCUCUUGCCCUUCCACCUAGUUUCCAUGUUAUGAUGCAGCAAGAAGGCCCUUGCCAGAUGUGGCUCCUGGAUUGUGGACUUUUCAGCCCCCAGAACUGUGAGCCAAACAAACUUCUUUUGUUCAUAACUUCCCCAGUCUGUGAUAUCCUGUUACAGCAGCAGAAAAUGGACUAAGACACCCAGGGAUGUACCUGGAACCUGGAAAAAGGAAAGGAGGCACUGAGGGACUCACAUGAAGCUACUCUGUCAGCAUUCUAAAACUUCUGACAUUCUUUUCUAUGAAGAUAAUUGAAUCACCAAAUUUGAUGAAAUGUUCCCCAAAUAUCAGGUGAAAAAAACUCAUCUAAACCUUUGGACUUGGAAUUGCCCACAUAGACCACAUCAGCAAUGGAAGACAGAGCAAAUAACAUGUCGGUUCAAUGUAUGAAGGAGCUUUUCUUUCCCCUGCCCCAACCCUCAGACAGGUAAAUCUGUGAAAGCUCUAUUUUGAUUCUUUUUAAAUUAUUUGUUUUACAUGUUUUGUGUUUUAUGUUGGCUGAUUCCAAAUGGUUGAAAUAGUGGAGGUCCAACAACCAUUUUCACAGUGUAAUCUUCAGAAGUUCAUCCUUUGGGUUGUAAUUUCAUGAUAAGGAGGAGCAAGAAGAUGCUUUUUGUAACUCAAAUAGCAUCUUCUGAGAAAGGUCUCUAUUUUCACUUGUGUCUUAACUUACAACUGUGUUCAACUCUAUUUCCUUUCCUUGCUUUACAUUUUUUCUUAUGCACCUAUAAUUAUCCAAUUUACUAUAUAUUUUAUAUUUGUCUGUUAUUGUCUGUUUUCUCCACUAAAACAUAAACUUCUUGCAGGAUUUUUGUCUGUUUUUCUCACUGUUGAAUCCCAAAAGCAAAGAAGAAUACCUAGCAUAGAGUUAGUGUUCAAGAAACAUUUGCUAAAUGGAUGAACACCUCUUCAUUUUAUGAGAAAUGAAUCUUCCCCAAGAAGGGGCUCCCGGGUGCAUCUUGUGUGUAGACAUCUCUAUGUCCCCAGGCUGCUGUAGAGCUGAGUCAUCUUUGUGCCCACACCUGGGAAGCAGGACCCUUGUUCGUGUUUCUUUGGCCUUGGGCAUGUCAGUGAGUAAGGAGGAUGUGUGGGAUCUGUGUCCAUAUUUACGUAAGAAAGCAAUAUAGCCUACUGCCCCUUUCAUUUUCAGCAAGUGUGUGUUUACACUGGCCUGGGAUCUACUAUAAAGUUUAAUGUUUGGUUAUACAUUUAUUUCUCAGCUACUUUUGUGAAUAAACAUUUUCUAAAACAUAUCUAUUUUAAAAGUGACAAUGUUUGAAUGAAAGAAAGAGGAGGAGUGAAGCCUGGUAGUUAAUUUGCAGAACUUAGAGCCUGAAUUUUUUGGGUUGGAUCUUUGAUUUUACCAUUCAUUAGUUUUGUGAUCUUCCUCAAUUUCCCAAUCUGUAAAAUGGAAAUAAUAAUAGUACCUACCUCAUGGGAUGUCAAGAGUAAAUAUAAAAAAUGUGUGACACCCAGGAAUGACUAUAUAAGUACUAGCAGUUAAUAUUAUUUAUUAUUAUUAUUCCUGCUUGAAUAAUCACUUUGAGCUAAAUCACUUUGUUUUUACUACUAGCAAUAAGCAUGCUUAAAUACUUUUAAUGUUAUUAUAAUUUGUAUUAUAGUAGACUAAUCUGGAAUUUUAUUAAGCAGAAUUCCCUCUAGACAGGCAUCUAUGCAUACGGAGCAAAAAAUGAUGUAUAUAAUAAUAAGUUUGAGGCACUGAAAGAUCUUGAAUGAGCUUCUGAAUCAUCAGUUACUGUAUCUUUGGGGGUGAGUGAAUUUUAUUACAAAGAAACUUUUUUUUUUUUUUAAAUUUGGUAAUCCUUAAGUAACAAUGUGCAAAUUUCUUUCAAGAAGUGCUGUUGAAUGCUAGGGAUGAGUAGUGUGAUGACUACUCCAAAUUAAGACAAUAAGGCCAGUUUGACAAUCAGCAAUGUGCUAUGCAGCUGAACUGGAGGCACAGUGGUGCUGGUGAAUUGGGCCAGCUCUGGAGAAUUUGAACAUAUAGACAGAGGGCAUGAUGUCUGACUUCUCCAGGCACUAUUGCAUCCCAGUCCGACUUUCCUAGGAUCACUUCAAGUUUGAUCAUAACCCCAAAUCCCUCAGCACCUUCAUUAUCACUCAUAAGCCACAGGGCGCUUGCUGGCAGCCCUUGUUUCUGAUCUGUUUCUCCACCACUGUUACUUGUAUUAUGGCACAUGACUCUGUUCCCAACACCCUCAGGCCUUGGGAAGGGGAUAGGCUGAAAUAAGUAGAUAUUGCUGUUGAAAGAAACAAUUUCAAUGAGGUCUCCCCCCACGCAUCCUUGCUGAGGUCGUGGCGAGACAUAGAUGGAGGGUAGGCAAAAGCAGGAAGAUGACAGCAGAGCAGUAAGGGCUCAGCAAACGAGAGACUAGGGCAGGUGUGUGAAGAAGGGAGAAUGGAAGAGGAAUUGGAUGCAUGAAGGCAGAGAAAGUAGGUGGUGGGCAGAAAUAAUGGGAAAAUGUGAAUCUUCAGAAGUCAAAAUUUAAUGAUGUUUGCUUAACAUUUGCAUAUAUGAUACUACUCCCCAAGUAUGUGAACUAGACAGUUUACAUAUAAGGCAGGAAAAUAGGGUCUGGAGGCAGGGAACAUAAGGCCAAUUCACACUUCAGCUAUGACAGAAAAUAUCUUCUCCAUAGGGCAUAGUUGCUAGGGCCACUCAGAGAGAGAGAAUCCUGAAACCUAGCAUACCAGCUAAAGGGUAAGAAUUUCUUACUAGCCAGUCUCUGGCCUCUUUCUCUCUGUGCAAACUGGCUAAUCUCCAUUGUAAAGUUUUAAAUUAAUUGGUUUAAUAAUAAUAAGAGCUUAAAUCAAAUAUUUCAUCAGGAAAGUAGAAAGCGUAAUGCCUUUUAGUUCACGUGACUUUAGCAAUUUUUGGGAAAUAAAGAGGGUUUUAAAGAUUAUUGGUAAAAUACAAUGUCUUUAAAAUGGAAACAUGUGGUCUAAAUUAUGUUCCAAUAUUAGGUUUGCUGAAUGCUUUAAGGUCAUAAACUGCUUAUUUGGCUUUUGAAAAUUGUUUAACUUGCCUGCUUUCCAGCUAGGUAAGGCCUGGGAACAUGUGGAGUUGGCCAUGCCCCUAGCUAUGCUGCAAACAGUCAAACCUUUUCAGAACAUAACUUACCAGGUUUUACAUUAAAGUUAAAAUUGCUAAGAGUCACCAUUGUAACAUGCAAUUAAGACUACUAGAAACGGUUUUACAUGCACGGUGUGUAAGAAUAGUAGAAUGUAUGUCUCUGUGUGUGUUUUGUAAAAGGUUUUUACUUCUUUAAAAUUUCUGAGUCAUUAUUUUGGCAAAAUAAAUAAUCUGGAAUUCCAAAAUCAAACUUCAGUUUCAAAAUUGUCUUUCCUAAUGCCUGGCUUUCUGGAUGGAUCAGAGGGCCCCUGAAAACAUCCAGAAAGGAGGUAAACAGGAUUAUUUGAUGUGUUUAGGUACAUGGGAUUGCCAAAAUGAUGUUCCGUGUUCUUUAAGUUUUUUUUGUGAAUAAUACUAAUAUAUGUUCCAAAAUUGUAUGGGAUUCCUAAAAUAGUACAUGCUAUCAAUUAUAAUUAUGGGUAUUAUGUUAAGUUAUUGUAAACCACACAAAUAACCAAAUUUCCUUGUAUAAAGCUACUAACCCAAGUAGAACAAAAAUUAAUUAAAUACCAAUAAAAUACUUUGUCAGACUUUCAUGUUAAACCAGCUGAUACUGAAAUUUUUAAGAUAGUUUAUAACCAAUGCUUGGUCCCAUAUUCCUGGGAAGACAAUUAAAGCUUCAUGUACAUUUGGUCACCUUGUGGGCCAUUUAAACAUUUUAUAAAGGGAUUUCAUUCAAUUGUUAUUUCCAAUGCAUGCUUUCUGGUUGUAUAAAAGCUUUCCCACGUGAGAGGGCUGAUGUUAUCACAGUAGAUUAUUAUGCUACAGUGUAUUUGCACCAGGUAAAAAAGCUUUUUAUGGUUUGAAUCUUCUGAGAACACCAGAGAAAGACUCUCCUUACCAUCCUCACUGCAACUAAACUUCGGGACCCUGGGCUUUGGGUUCAUGGUCUCGCCACUGAAAAGGUUCCCUCCACACUUUUGGAAUUGUGCACCCAUUGGAACCCUUGAGGUAAAGCUAACCAGAGAAAUUUCUCCCAAGAAGAAGAAGAUGGCAUCCUUGAAGUGAACAGCUUUUCCCAAGUUCACAGAGUAAGACUUCUACUAUCAUGAAACUCUUAUCUUUGAAUAUUUUUUCUUGCUUAUAUCUCUACUAACAAUAGAAGUGGAAAAAGGGUCUGUUAUGUGCACUUAUGGGGUAUACUUUUAUUUGUGAAGAAGUUUGCAGCCAGCCUUAUACAUGGAUAACCUUCUACUUUGAUAGAGAUGAAGGCCCAAUGCAGGUUUUAAAUGCUUGCAUGCAGCCAUCUCUAGAACAUCAAAUGGUCUCUCUUCGACUGGAAUGACAACAGCUGAAAGAAAUGUUCAACCAUGAGGACACCAUACCUAUAAAUGAUGUGCUGAGACUGGAAACCCAAAAUGUUGGUAACUGAGAAGUGGCACUAAGGCCCUAAGUUUUGGUUGCACACUCACCUAAGUGAGAACCUGACCAAAAAGGGGGGAUUUUUAAAACAAAACUCUGUGAGGCCAUUGUUUUGGACUAAGCUCAUGCACUCAUGCCCUGGGCCCCAACAGACUAAAGCAAACACAGAUGGAGUCAUUUGUGCUAAGACUUUAAGGAAACGCUUGGAUUCCACAACAGACUAGCUUUUGUUUUUUUCUUCUGCAAAUCUCUAUAACAAACAUUUCUGACAACAUAGGUAUCCACCCCCUGAAGUUCCCAUUAAAUCUUUUAACCAAAUUCAUUUCCUCUCACCUAGAGACCAUCAAGCUUCAGAUGAUGAUGCAACAAAGGUUUCAGCCAGUUCCAGGUGAAGACACCACCCUUGGACAUCAAGAAGCUACCCUGCCUCCACUAGAUAGAGCAGGGAGAGUUCUGUGAUCCCCAAUAGGUAAGGACUAUGCCCCAAGCCAGCAUGAAGCAGUUACCAAAAAAGAUCAUCGGUCCCUCUGCCUCCCAUAAAGAUUUAUGGGAUCACAUCUCUCAGGGAGGAGAUGAGGCAGGAAAAUACGGUCUGGAGGCAGGAAACAUAAGGACAAUUCACACUUCAGCUAUGACAGGAAAUAUCCUCUCCAUAGGGCAUAGGCCAAGUAAAUGACUUUGCAACUUUACUUCAUCCUCUUCAUUUAUGUAGUAUGUGUCCCAAUCCUCUAGAGGAUAUUGAAACUCCCAAAAUUCUAAAUAGUGUGGACUUGGAGCCCCUAUGCUCAGGCCCGCUCCCACACUAUGGAGUGUACUUUCCUUUACAAUAAAACCCUCCAUUUCUUCC
rnacentral:lncRNA from 10 species